CAAGAGAACGCGCCAAAGUUGAAAUAGCUCAUCUGCGACCAGCCAAUAACAUGCCAGGUGGGUAUCUGAAGCAACAGUUACUGUUUAAGUCUUUUCUCUGGAUGGGAAUUAAUUCUCUUUCGCUGAGAGAAUCCAAUUAAUAUUAUUCUGCCAAUUUAAGGAAGUAAAUUUUACAAGGAAGCAAAUCUUGCAUUUAGGUGGGAAAGACUUUGUCCAAAGAGACUUGAGAAUUCUCUUGAGGACCAGGCCCUAGACCGGCGGUUCUUAGCUUAUUUUGUGUGAGAAUGCAUUCGACAAUAUUGGUGGCAACUGUGGUGUCUGAUUCCGGGGGGAAAAAACGUAUGUGUCCAUCUGUGCCACGUUUUGUCAUAUAUCUGUUUACUUUUGAAAGCUUUCAGGGUCGUGGCUGGGGUUGAAGGUUUAAAUCAAAAUGUCCCCUUGUGUUUUGGCUUGCAGAAUGUUCUUUGGCCCCCGACGUGGGGGGGGGGGGGGGUGUUGUUUCGCUGGUGCUCCAGACGCCCCUACGGUUUCUUCGGAGCCUCGUCUACACCUGCGACACUAAGGUUUGUGAAGUCACUCGAGUCUCAUGAAGGAUUUAGUUGCACUGUGUUGCCGUGAACGCUUGGAUUUGGACGCAAGGCUCACGACUGCCUUCUGGAUUUUCCAUGGUAGGGUGAAAAAAAAAAAUGCGCGACACACAUCACCAAGAAUCCAUGUCUGUGCCUGGCAGUGUAAUCGAGAAAAGCUUUGGAAUGCGAGUGGACGGCAUUAUGAAUAGCUUUCCUUAGCGCACCUGCAGAAAGGCACUACCUUUAGACACACCUUUGCCAAGCGCGUGUGCGUAAGGCACAGUGUUAGACGGAUGUGACAAAUGGGUGGGUGAUGCCUUUGGAGAAGAUUCUCCCAGGACUCUGAUGGGCUGAGGUUUAGAGAUGCCCAUACAGCCUCCGGGCGCUAAGAAGAUUACAGCCGGGGCCCGAUAUCAGCCCAUGAAAUAUUUUCAUCAUCAGGAUGAAGAAAAUUAUUUUGCACCGUUUCUGUUGUUCGGAAGUGGAAACAGUUUCGGGUGUGAAUCCCCCAAGGGACUUUCUGUGGCCUCCCUACCUCUUUUUUUUAAAUUUUUUUUUUCAACGUUUUAUUUAUUUUUGGGACAGAGAGAGACAG
rnacentral:lncRNA from 1 species